rnacentral:rRNA from 1 species
UACAGAGGGGGCAAGCGUUGUUCGGAAUUACUGGGCGUAAAGGGCGCGUAGGCGGCCUGUUAAGUCGAACGUGAAAUCCCCGGGCUCAACCCGGGAGCUGCGUCCGAUACUGGCAGGCUUGAAUCCGGGAGAGGGAUGCGGAAUUCCAGGUGUAGCGGUGAGAUGCGUAGAUAUCUGGAGGAAUACCGGUGGCGAAGGCGGCAUCCUGGACCGAGAUUGACGCUGAUGAGCGAAAGCUAGGGGAGCAAACGGG